rfam:Apaloderma vittatum contig5410, whole genome shotgun sequence.
UAGCUCAGUCAGUUAGAGCUUGGUGCUGAUAACACCAAGGUCGCGAGUUCAAUCCCCGU